GGGGGGCGCAGCUAUACAUGCAGUCGAGCGGACAGAUGGGAGCUUGCUCCCUGAAGUUAGCGGCGGACGGGUGAGUAACACGUGGGUAACCUGCCUGUAAGACUGGGAUAACUCCGGGAAACCGGGGCUAAUACCGGAUGGUUGUUUGAACCGCAUGGUUCAAACAUAAAAGGUGGCUUCGGCUACCACUUACAGAUGGACCCGCGGCGCAUUAGCUAGUUGGUGAGGUAACGGCUCACCAAGGCGACGAUGCGUAGCCGACCUGAGAGGGUGAUCGGCCACACUGGGACUGAGACACGGCCCAGACUCCUACGGGAGGCAGCAGUAGGGAAUCUUCCGCAAUGGACGAAAGUCUGACGGAGCAACGCCGCGUGAGUGAUGAAGGUUUUCGGAUCGUAAAGCUCUGUUGUUAGGGAAGAACAAGUACCGUUCGAAUAGGGCGGUACCUUGACGGUACCUAACCAGAAAGCCACGGCUAACUACGUGCCAGCAGCCGCGGUAAUACGUAGGUGGCAAGCGUUGUCCGGAAUUAUUGGGCGUAAAGGGCUCGCAGGCGGUUUCUUAAGUCUGAUGUGAAAGCCCCCGGCUCAACCGGGGAGGGUCAUUGGAAACUGGGGAACUUGAGUGCAGAAGAGGAGAGUGGAAUUCCACGUGUAGCGGUGAAAUGCGUAGAGAUGUGGAGGAACACCAGUGGCGAAGGCGACUCUCUGGUCUGUAACUGACGCUGAGGAGCGAAAGCGUGGGGAGCGAACAGGAUUAGAUACCCUGGUAGUCCACGCCGUAAACGAUGAGUGCUAAGUGUUAGGGGUUUCCGCCCCUUAGUGCUGCAGCUAACGCAUUAAGCACUCCGCCUGGGGAGUACGGUCGCAAGACUGAAACUCAAAGGAAUUGACGGGGGCCCGCACAAGCGGUGGAGCAUGUGGUUUAAUUCGAAGCAACGCGAAGAACCUUACCAGUCUGACAUCCUCUGACAUCCUAGAAGAUAGGACGUCCCCUUCGGGGGCAGAGUGACAGUGGGUGCAUGGAUGUCGUCAGCUCGUGUCGUGAGAUGUUGGGUCAGUCCCGCCACGAGCCGCAACCCUCGAUCUAGUGCAGCAUCAGUUGGGGCAGCUCUAAGGUGACUGACG
rnacentral:rRNA from 1 species